rnacentral:rRNA from 1 species
UGAACUCAGAUCACGUAAGAUUUAAAAAGUCGAACAGACUUAAAUUUUAAACUUNUACACCUAAAACUUUAUCUUAAUCCAACAUCGAGGUCGCAAUCUUUUUUAUCGAUAAGAACUCUUUAAAAAAAUUACGCUGUUAUCCCUAAAGUAACUUAAUUUUUUAAUCAUAAUUUAUGGAUCAAAAAUUCAUAAAUUAAUGUAUUUAUUAAUUAAAAGUUUAUUAAAUUUUAAUAUCACCCCAAUAAAAUACCAAUUUUUUAUACAAAUAAAUAUAUCUAUAUAAUUAAAUAAAAAAUUAAUAUAAAGAUUUAUAGGGUCUUCUCGUCUUUUAAAUAAAUUUUAGCUUUUUUACUAAAAAAUAAAAUUCUAAAUUUAUUUAUUUGAAACAGUUUUUAUUUCGUCCAACCAUUCAUUCUAGUUUUCAAUUAAAAAAAUAAUGAUUAUGCUACCUUUGCACAG